UUAUAAACCCGAUAGUAGCGGAUAUCGGCUGUUGAGUGUAAGGCCUGUCCGAAGGACCCCUUCGGGGCAGAUGUAUGAGCGGAUAGCGGGGCUAUCG
rnacentral:sRNA from 1 species